UUCUAUUUGAAAUAAUCAAUAGUAUGAUCUGCUCAAUGAAUAUUAAAUAGCCGCAAUUCUGUGCUAAGGUAGCAUAAUCAUUUGUCUUUUAAUUGAAGACUAGAACAAAAGAUCAAACUUUUUAAUUAAUUUAUAUUAUUUAUUACAUAAAAUUUAUUUUAAAUGUAAAAAAACAUUUUAUAAAAAAGGAAGACGACAAGACCCUAUUGAACUUAACUUAAGUUAAACUGGGGCAGUUAAUUAAUUAUAAUUUUAAUUAAAUUAUUUAUAAAAAUUGAUCCAAUAAAAUUGAUCAAUUAAUCAAGUUACCAUAGGGAUAACAGCGUUAUAAUAAUUAAGAGAUCUUAUCUAAAUUAAAUUCUUGCGACCUCGAUGUUGAAUUUAUUACCUAAUAUAUUAACGCAAUAGUUUAAAAAGGAAGUCUGUUCGACUUUUAAAAAAUUACA
rnacentral:rRNA from 1 species